CCCAACAGUAGUCGACGGAAGGUUUGUAGAGGUCGCUGACGAAAACAUCUGGGGGGACCGUGGCCCGCUCGGAUGCCAUCUUGGCGAGCGCGUCGGCGGCCUCAUUAUACUUCCUUAACACGUGGUUAAGUUCGAGGCCGUCGAACUUCUCUUCCAGGCGUCGAACCGCUUUGCAGUACGCGUUCAUCUUGGGGUCGUGGCAGCUAGACUCUUUCAUGACUUGAUCGAUGACGAGACUGGAAUCGCCCCGG
rnacentral:lncRNA from 1 species